rnacentral:lncRNA from 1 species
UGGGGAGGGCACUGGGUUCAUGUGAUACACAAGACCCUGGGCUACAGGUCUGGCCACGUCCUUUGACCGUUAAGGGCAGUCCUUAAUAAGGUGUUGGGUGAUUCUGCACCAAUAGCAAGCGUGAUUAAUACGCCGGCAGGGUAGAUCACCAUGCGAGCGACCGUAAUGCUGGCAUAGUUGGGAAAGUCGGGCAGGUUGUCUAAUAGGUGGAAGUUAUAUAUAUAUAUGUGUGUGUAAUUGAAACUCAUAUAUUUUGGUAAUGGAUUAUAAUAAUUUUCUCUACUGGAUAUAAUUAUUUAUCAUGCAUUCGUAAUAUGUU